AAUAGAUACCCUGGUAGUCCACGCCGUAAACGAUGGGCACUAGGUGCUUGGGGGAGCGACCCCCUGAGUGCCGGCGCUAACGCAUUAAGUGCCCCGCCUGGGGAGUACGGCCGCAAGGCUGAAACUCAAAGGAAUUGACGGGGGCCCGCACAGGCGGUGGAGCAUGUGGUUUAAUUCGACGCAACGCGAAGAACCUUACCUGGGCUUGACAUGCACGGGGAAACCUUCCAGGAAGGGAAGGCCCUCUUCGGAGUCCGUGCACAGGUGCUGCAUGGCUGUCGUCAGCUCGUGUCGUGAGAUGUUGGGUUAAGUCCCGCAACGAGCGCAACCCCCGUUCCUAGUUACCAGCGGGUUAUGCCGGGGAACUCUAGGAAGACUGCCGGUGCCAAACCGGAGGAAGGUGGGGACGGCGUCAAGUCAUCAUGGUCCUUACGUCCAGGGCUACACACGUGCUACAAUGGGCGGGACAGAGGGUCGCAGAGCCGCAAGGUGAAGCCGAUCCCAGAACCCGUCUCAGUUCGGAUUGUCGUCUGCAACUCGACGGCA
rnacentral:rRNA from 1 species